CCCUAGAUCCAGCCAGUGCCGCGUGCGGGAAGAAGGCCUUCGGGUUGUAAACCGCUUUUGUCAGGGAAGAAAUCUUCUGAGCUAAUACCGUCGGGGGGAUGACGGUACCUGGAGAAUAAGCACCGGCUAACUACGUGCCAGCAGCCGCGGUAAUACGUAGGGUGCAAGCGUUAAUCGGAAUUACUGGGCGUAAAGCGUGCGCAGGCGGUUGUGCAAGACAGAUGUGAAAUCCCCGGGCUUAACCUGGGAACUGCAUUUGUGACUGCACGGCUAGAGUGCGGCAGAGGGGAUGGAAUUCCGCGUGUAGCAGUGAAAUUCGUAGAUAUCGGGAGGAACACCAGUGGCGAAGGCGGAAACCUGGGGCCGAUACUGACGCUGAGGUGCGAAAGCGUGGGGAGCAAACAGGAUUAGAUACCUGGUAGUCCACGCCGUAAACGAUGAGCGCUAGGUGUUGGGGGUAUUGACCCCCCAGUACCGCAGCUAACGCGUUAAGCGCUCCGCCUGGGGAGUACGGCCGCAAGGCUAAAACUCAAAGGAAUUGACGGGGGC
rnacentral:rRNA from 1 species